GGUUCUGUAGUGUAGCGGUUAUCACUCCAGAUUUUGACGAAAUCGGUGAGAUUUCAGCAAUCGAAAUUCUGGUGACCCCGGUUCGAUCCCGGGCAGGACCU